GACCCCAGGGUGACAUCGGCCCCAAGGGGGAGAAUGGCCUCCCUGGCAUCGAUGGCAAGGAUGGCACCCCAGGGAUCCCAGGAGUGAAGGGUGGCACAGGACAGGCCGGACGGCCGGGAACGCCGGGA